rnacentral:tRNA from 1 species
UGCCCCGUGGUGUAAUGGUAACACAGCAGAUUUUGGUUCUGCUUUUGCAGGUUCGAAUCCUGCCGGGGCAUC